AAAUUGAAGAGUUUGAUCAUGGCUCAGAUUGAACGCUGGCGGCAGGCCUAACACAUGCAAGUCGAACGGUAACAGGAAACAGCUUGCUGUUUCGCUGACGAGUGGCGGACGGGUGAGUAAUGUCUGGGAAACUGCCUGAUGGAGGGGGAUAACUACUGGAAACGGUAGCUAAUACCGCAUAAUGUCGCAAGACCAAAGAGGGGGACCUUAGGGCCUCUUGCCAUCGGAUGUGCCCAGAUGGGAUUAGCUGGUAGGUGGGGUAACGGCUCACCUAGGCGACGAUCCCUAGCUGGUCUGAGAGGAUGACCAG
rnacentral:rRNA from 1 species